rnacentral:rRNA from 1 species
GGAGUUAGCCGGUGCUUCUUCUGUGAGUGAUGUCCUUCCUGCCGGCUAUUAACCCGCAGGCCUUCUUCCUCACUGAAAGUGCUUUACAACCCGAAGGCCUUCUUCACACACGCGGCAUGGCUGGAUCAGGGUUGCCCCCAUUGUCCAAUAUUCCCCACUGCUGCCUACCGUAGGAGUCUGGGCCGUGUCUCAGUCCCAGUGUGGCUGAUCAUCCUCUCAGACCAGCUACGGAUCGUCGCCUUGGUGAGCCGUUACCUCACCAACCAGCUAAUCCGACAUAGGCUCAUCCGAUAGCGCGAGGCCCGAAGGUCCCCCGCUUUCCCCCGUAGGGCGUAUGCGGUAUUAGCCUGGGUUUCCCCAGGUUAUCCCCCACUACCGGGCAGAUUCCUAUGCAUUACUCACCCGUCCGCCGCUCGCCACCAGGGAGCAAGCUCCCCGUGCUGCCGCUCGACUUGCAUGUGUUAGGCCUGCCGCCAGCGUUCAAUCUGAGCCAGGAUCAAACUCUGA